rnacentral:rRNA from 1 species
AGGAUUCCCCUAGUAACUGCGAGUGAAGCGGGAAAAGCUCAAAUUUAAAAUCUGAUAGUCGUCGUCGACUGUCCGAGUUGUAAUCUAGAGAAGUGUUAUCCGCGCUGGACCGUGUACAAGUCUCCUGGAAUGGAGCGUCACAGAGGGUGAGAAUCCCGUCUUUGACACGGACUGCCAGGGCUUUGUGAUGCGCUCUCAAAGAGUCGAGUUGUUUGGGAAUGCAGCUCAAAAUGGGUGGUAAAUUCCAUCUAAAGCUAAAUAUUGGCGAGAGACCGAUAGCGAACAAGUACCGUGAGGGAAAGAUGAAAAGAACUUUGGAAAGAGAGUUAAACAGUACGUGAAAUUGCUGAAAGGGAAACGCUUGAAGUCAGUCGCGUUGUCCAGGGAUCAAUCUUGCUUUUGCUUGGUGCACUUUCUGGUUGACGGGUCAGCAUCAAUUUUGACUAUUGGAAAAAGAUUAGGGGAAUGUGGCAUCUUCGGAUGUGUUAUAGCCCUUGGUUGCAUACAAUGGUUGGGAUUGAGGAACUCAGCACGCCGCAAGGCCGGGUUUUUAACCACGUACGUGCUUAGGAUGCUGGCAUAAUGGCUUUAAUCGACCCGUCUUGAAACACGGACCAAGGAGUCUAACAUGCCUGCGAGUGUUUGGGUGGAAAACCCGAGCGCGUAAUGAAAGUGAAAGUUGAGAUCCCUGUCGUGGGGAGCAUCGACGCCCGGACCAGACCUUUUGUGACGGUUCCGCGGUAGAGCAUGUAUGUUGGGACCCGAAAGAUGGUGAACUAUGCCUGAAUAGGGUGAAGCCAGAGGAAACUCUGGUGGAGGCUCGUAGCGAUUCUGACGUGCAAAUCGAUCGUCAAAUUUGGGUAUAGGG